rnacentral:rRNA from 1 species
AUGCAUGCCGACGACGGCCGAGGGCGCGCUGGUGCCGUCCACGGUGUGCCCGCCGACGCCGACAAGGAAGCGUCGGCCGCUGCAGCAGAGGUUUUUCUACCACCGGUGCCGCGCGAGCUCACCACCGUCUUCGUCGCGGUGCCGCAGUCCCCGCCGCCGGCGAAGAAGAUGCUGGUGCACCGUGCACGUUGUCGAACAGUCUGUGCCUCUAGGCAUAUGCUGCCGCGCGACAUUGUCACGGCCGCGAGUGCUGGAAAGAGUAGUGAAGCUUUAUUGAUAUCUCAUUCACACACAACACUAGCAGUGAAGUUUAGCUGA